AUAAAAAUAAUAAUUUAUUUCACAAACCAAAUAUUCAACUACAAAGUUAAUCAAAAUAGUUGUCCUAAAGAAAUCAUAUCUAUUUAUAUAAAAAGGGGGAGCAUUACCAGCGGAACAGAAAUAUUUCUUUUUACAUGGCGUAGAACACUGGAGAAAACAUAAAAAAACAUUUUGAGAAAAAAAAAAUGCUUUCAACAACGGCAACAUUAAUAGAAAACUGGGAACCACUGGCAAAGAAACCAUGUGAGCUACUUGCUAUUACCAAAGGUGCAUCAUGGUCAUCACUGUAUGCUACUUUAGUUUCAUAAGCUGAUAAAUAUUGAACAUAGUUUGUAAAGAGCUAAUAGUACAUUAUAUUUGUACUACAAACAUAGCUAUCAAUCUACCAGCUAUUGAUAUAGA